GACGAACGCUGGCGGCGUGCUUAACACAUGCAAGUCGAACGGAAAGGCCCUGCUUUUGUGGGGUGCUCGAGUGGCGAACGGGUGAGUAACACGUGAGUAACCUGCCCUUGACUUUGGGAUAACUUCAGGAAACUGGGGCUAAUACCGGAUAGGAGCUCCUGCUGCAUGGUGGGGGUUGGUAAGUUUCGGCGGUUGGGGAUGGACUCGCGGGUUAUCAGCUUGUUGGUGGGGUAGUGGCUUACCAAGGUUUUGACGGGUAGCAGGCCUGAGAGGGUGACCGGCCACAUUGGGACUGAGAUACGGCCCAGACUCCUACGGGAGGCAGCAGUGGGGAAUAUUGCACAAUGGGCGGAAGCCUGAUGCAGCAACGCCGCGUGCGGGAUGACGGCCUUCGGGUUGUAAACCGCUUUCGCCUGUGACGAAGCGUGAGUGACGGUAAUGGGUAAAGAAGCACCGGCUAACUACGUG
rnacentral:rRNA from 1 species